UCCCAGAAGUACUCAAUGAAAGCCAGUAUGGACUUUCCAUCCUGUCAAGCAAAUUCAUCAUAGACCUUAACCCAGUCAGUUAUCAGAAACAGAGCCAUGUAGUUGGAGUUUUAUUAGAAAGAAAGGAGGCAAAGUGGAUGCUGAGAGACAGUUGGAAGGGAGUACAGUAAGAAUUUUGGGAAUGCACGCACAUGCAUCCAGCAA